UUAGAGGUUUGAUCAUGGCUCAGAUUGAACGCUGGCGGCAGGCCUAACACAUGCAAGUCGAGCGGUAACAGAGAGUAGCUUGCUACUUUGCUGACGAGCGGCGGACGGGUGAGUAAUGCUUGGGAACAUGCCUUGAGGUGGGGGACAACAGUUGGAAACGACUGCUAAUACCGCAUAAUGUCUACGGACCAAAGGGGGCUUCGGCUACUCGCCUUUAGAUUGGCCCAAGUGGGAUUAGCUAGUUGGUGAGGUAAUGGCUCACCAAGGCGACGAUCCCAAGCUGGUUUGAGAGGAUGAUGAUGAGCCACACUGGGACUGAGACACGGCCCAGACUCCUACGGGAGGCAGCAGUGGGGAAUAUUGCACAAUGGGCGCAAGCCUGAUGCAGCCAUGCCGCGUGUGUGAAGAAGGCUUACGGGUUGUAAAGCAUUUACAGUCCAGGAGGAAAGGUUAGUAGUUAAUAC
rnacentral:rRNA from 1 species